CAACCCUCAAACCUCACGGUUUGGUGUUGGGGAUCGGGUUGCUUAGGCAAUCCGCCCCCGAAAUCUAGUGGCGGUCUCUCUGCAGCCUCCAUUGCGUAGUAGCUAACACCUCGCAACUGGAAAGCGGAGCGGCCACGCCGUUAAACCCCCAACUUCUGAA
rnacentral:misc_RNA from 1 species